ACAAAAUGUCGUUAGUCUUAUUUUCGGGUUCAGAUCGUCGGAAUUGGAUGUUUUCCUUACUGUCCGCGUGUAACAAGCGGUAUGCAGUGCAGUGCAAAAAAUAAGUCGAUUGUAAAACAUUACAUCGUACUGUUUGCCGUUAGUAUAAUACGAUCUGCCAUUGGUUUAUUUUUUUUCAUCUUUUCGACAACCCAAGGGAUUAAGAUUAUACGUAUAUUACUUAGAGUGCUGCCUAUCAAAUCACGGUGCGAAUUAAAAUACCACGUCGCAUUUACCAUUGUGUACAACGACCAGAGCGUACCAAAUUUAAGUGAUUUUUACGGGCUAGGGAAGAUGAACGACUAGUAACGAAAUGGUUAGCAGCAUCGACAUCAACAACCAGAUUUCAACCCAGCGCUUGACUGGAAUCAAGAAAACAGAUGGAGUUUGCAGAUGGACCCGAAAAAAAAUUUGUUGACCUAAUUUUACAAUCAAACUUUAUUAUCACCAAAAUAAGAAAACUAUCGUUGCAUAUAAAUAUAUAAAUGACCUGAAA